GCUCCUGUAGUCUAGCCAGGCAGGAUAACGGACUUUCGAUCCGUCGACUCGGGUUCAAAUCCCGGCAGGAGCA
rnacentral:tRNA from 7 species